GAUAUAGCAAUGAGGUUUUAUAAAAAAGGUUUUUUCAAACCCUGUGCUCAAUAGUAAUUGAAGCCUUUGAUACUUCCAUUUUAUUAUCUGAAUGUUCAGCUUGUUUUCUUUUAUUUUUGAGAUGCGAGGCAUCUGCGAGAAAAUAAUAUACAGCAGUGCCGAAGUCCUUAUGGGCAUGACAACCAUCCAAGGAAAUUCAAACACUGUAAAAUAAUGUACAAGCUGCUUACAGCUAAAAAAUGUCCAUCAUGGGAACCGAA
rnacentral:lncRNA from 1 species